AUGAACUUUUCAGAUUAGGAAGAAAGGAGUUGUUAGCAAUGAUCCAAGGUGAACUGGUUGUCUCUUUCCUGUAUUUCAGGAUUCAUUUGGCCAGGCUCAGAAACCUUUUUUUUUCUGAGAAAAAAUUAGGGGCUCUCAGUAAGAAUUCUGAGGCAGAGCUUAGAUGAAGGCUACACAAAGACCUCCAGUUGAAAGUGGAGGCAUGCUAAUAUUGAAGAAAAGCAAAUGCUCCUAGUACCUGUGAAGACUCAAGCCUCAUGGUCUACUCGUGCUAUUUUGAUCAUUAUGAUGAUGGGGUCAAAAUGACUGCUUUGCUUCUGCUGUAUCUAUCUUGGAGCUGGAUUUUUCUAUGAAGUCUGUGGAAGCUUGUUAGCAUGUUAAAUGCCCAGCUUUCAUUAAAUCCACACCUGAAGAGGGUCCUUCUUAGAGACCAAGUAUGGAGAAGGUGUGAAGAUGAAUUCUGGGAAGGAUUUUGCAGGAAAGCUGAAUCACAGGAAAGUCAGUCUUGUUCCCAUUGAAGUCAACACUAUAAUGCCUGGAGACUGUCUUUCAUGUAUGGGAUGCAAGACUGAACCCAGGAUGAUGCCAUAACCAGGAGAGCACAGAGGUGGGCUGUGGGCUUCCAGCAAGUUACCGCUGCCAGGGAGGGUGCAAGGGUGGGCAGCUAGCCCCACAGAAGCCAUGUUCCUGACAGCUGACUGCACCGGGGCCCUCUUGCCCCACGCAUCCACUGGACUAAGAAAAUUAUUUCUAGCAAUGGCAAGAAUAUUGGCAUUGUCGCACAGUGCCCAGAAACCAUAGGAAAGAGUAGCCAGUGCAAAUAUUUCAGCCCACCCAGCUUGACUGAGCAUUUCUGUCUGGAAGCAUAUUGGGAGCAGCUUUCUUCUGAGGUACCUGGUACUUGCUGCUUUUGCUUGAGCAUCCUAGAAAUUCAGGGGACUUCUUGACUUCAAGGCAUGAGAGCUACUGCA